AGAAUCUUCCGCAAUGGGCGAAAGCCUGACGGAGCGACGCCGCGUGCAGGAUGAAGGCCCUCGGGUUGUAAACUGCUGUCACACGUUAUGAAAAAACACGGGUUAAUACCCCGUGUCUUGACAAAGGCGUGGGAGGAAGCCACGGCUAACUUCGUGCCAGCAGCCGCGGUAAGACGAAGGUGGCAAGCGUUGCUCGGAAUUACUGGGCAUAAAGCGCGCGUAGGUGGCGCGAUAAGCGAGGGAUGAAAUCCCAUGGCCCACCCAUGGAACUGUUUCUCGAACUGUCGUGCUUGAGGGCGGGAGGGGAAGGUGGAAUUCCUGGUGUAGCGGUGAAAUGCGUAGAUAUCAGGAGGAACACCGGUGGCGAAAGCGACCUUCUGGCCCGUUCCUGACACUGAUGCGCGAAAGCUAGGGGAGCAAAC
rnacentral:rRNA from 1 species